rnacentral:lncRNA from 1 species
AUGGAGGCCUCGCCAGGACCCGACCUCCUUCCCCCAGAGCUUCCCUACCCACCUGGGCAAACAGGGCAUCUGGGACGGGUGACGCUCGAACGUUUCUCAGACAGCCAGGCCUACACAGGCCUGGAGACAUUCAACCCCCACAGGGGAGGACGGGAGGCCCAGGCGGCCCCGUGCGGUCUACCUCCUGUCUCCUCGCUCAUUUGCCCAUCGCCAUCUCAGUGGUCUCCCCGGGAAUCCUGCAGGGUCAGCCUCCCCCCGGGCAGGUGGGCCCAGCCACCGCUCUCCCGACACCUGGCUUGUUGGCACCAGGGAGGGCCUCGGUGCACGGGGGCCUUCGAGGGAAGUGAGCCCACGAGAAGCAACCCUGGGUCUCAAAGAGGACAUUUAUGGUUUGCAGGAGAAAGGAGGCUAAAUUUUGAGAAGUGGUGGCACAAGGGGAUGGGGACUUGCCAAGCCAGCCACCUGGGCGUUGUACUGUCUUUAUUUUUAAAACCACUAAAGUGCAAGACUUCCUUUUGCACUUUUCUCCACUUUUUUUUUUUUUUUUCCCCUCCUGGGUUUUUGUUUCUUUUUAUAAACGUACUUUCUGGGUUUUCUAAUGGAGUUAGAUGGUCUAGCCAUCCUCACAGACCCUGGCCCCCCUCUCAAACUCCUCUGGGUGGGGAAAGGGAAGGUGGGGAGCGUCAGCCACCUUCUCAGGUCCCCGGCCACCAGCCUGAGUCCCGAAUCUCCCGCCACCGUCGCCGCCGCCACCACCGCUGCCACCACAACCGCCACCGCCACCACCACCACCACCACCACACAGUAGCCCACACGGAUAGACAGUUGUCAGACAAGAUUCCUUCAGAUUCCGAGUUGCCUACCGGUUUUUUUUUUUCUUUUUUGAAGACAGCAAUAACCACAGCACAUAUUACUGUAGCUCUUUGUAGUGUUACGUACAUACAUAUCAUAGCUCUAUUCUCUCCCUUUGUUUUGUUUUCGACUUUUUUUUUUUUUUUAAUAAACGCUCAUAAUCUUUACUGGUGA